AAAAAGUCAACUUCUCCUCUCUCUAGGAAGUCUGUCCCAGGAAGUUUUCAAACCUCUCUUGGCCAGAGAACAUCAGUGGGAGUGAUUGGAGGCCCUGGAUGGGAAGUCCCGCCAAGCUGGAACAGCUGAGCCAUCCAAACAGCAAGGAUGACAACCUUCCCUUUCUCCUAAGAACUCUGCCCCAUUCAAGCUUGGCCCAACACUGUUGCCAGGGGCUGGCUGGAAUUCCA
rnacentral:lncRNA from 10 species